UGGAGAUUUGAGCUAUUGACUGUGCGA
rnacentral:piRNA from 1 species